rnacentral:rRNA from 1 species
ACGAACGCUGGCGGCGUGCUUAACACAUGCAAGUCGAGCGGUAAGGCCCUUUCGGGGGUACGACGAGCGGCGAACGGGUGAGUAACACGUGGGUGACCUGCCCUCAGCUCUGGGAUAAGCCUGGGAAACCGGGUCUAAUACUGGAUAUGACUCCAUGACGCAUGUUGUGGGUGGAAAGCCUUGUGCGGCUGAGGAUGGGCCCGCGGCCUAUCAGCUUGUUGGUGGGGUGAUGGCCUACCAA